rnacentral:rRNA from 1 species
CAGCAGCCGCGGGAAUACAGAGGGUGCGAGCGUUAAUCGGAUUUACUGGGCGUAAAGCGUGCGUAGGCGGCUAAUUGAGUCGGAUGUGAAAUCCCCGAGCUUAACUUGGGAAUUGCAUUCGAUACUGGUUAGCUAGAGUGUGGGAGAGGAUGGUAGAAUUCCAGGUGUAGCGGUGAAAUGCGUAGAGAUCUGGAGGAAUACCGAUGGCGAAGGCAGCCAUCUGGCCUAACACUGACGCUGAGGUACGAAAGCAUGGGGAGCAAACAGGAUUAGAUACCCCCGUAGUCCCUGUCUCUUAUAA